rnacentral:misc_RNA from 1 species
GUAGUUGAACCUGCGGAAGGAUCAUUGUCGAAACCUGCCCAGCAGAACGACCCGUGAACACGUUCAACCUCGUGGGUGCUGGGGCGUUGCUCGGUGCCUUGUGUGCCUUCUCGCCCCACUCCCAGGCCGGGGGAGCGAUCAUUUGUGGGCUGUUUCCCCGGAUAACCAACGAACCCCGGCGUGUAAAUGCGUCAAGGAAUAUAAACUUUAUGUGUGUGCUCUCCUAUCGCUCGGUUAGCCGGGCGUUGGA